CAGCAGAGGCCAAAUCCUGGGCUGUGUCCCGGCGCCCUGUGCUGCGGGGCCUGCACGUUUGGAUUCUCGCUCCCGGCCGCAUAGCCGCCU
rnacentral:pre_miRNA from 1 species